rnacentral:lncRNA from 1 species
GCCAAAGACAAAGACAGAAUCACAUCCCUGAGAUUUCAUGACGAAACCUGGUGUCUCCCAUUACUAUCUUUGUCUCCCCCGGAAACAUAGUUAAUGCUUGUCCCCAUUUAAACAAAAAUAUCUAAUAAUCUGCACUUUCAAAUAUUAUGUUUAGCGUUUAAAGCCCCUGACACACAGCAGUGGCUUCCGAGUCAUCAAUUUCCAAACCCAGGGCUGGGAGGCAAAGCUCUGCUAGACUCUGGAAUUCAGGCUUCUAACCAGGAUGGAAUAUUACUCGAAGCAUGGGAUGUCUCCAUCAUUCUCAACGGGGCCAUCCUAAUGCCUAUCAUGGAGCUGUUUGCCAGUGUUAUUAAAAUCUCAGUGGUUUGCAAAGGGCUUGUUUCAUUGUUUUUUUUAUUUUUAUUUAUCUAUUUAUGUUUCUGUGGAGGUCAGUGAUGCAUUUCUCUGCAAACAGACACUCAACUGUUCCAUGGUAUGACUCUCACGUUACCUUGGCCGAUGGCAUCCUUUAUGGAGUGGUUCGCCCCAUUUCGAGGUCACAUCUGUCCUGCACCAAAGAGCUGGUAAACCCCGUCCCUGCACAUGCUAAGGAAGGAGGGGUCAGCUCAGGUCCUGAGAAGUGCCCGGAUCUCUGCCACACCCAGCACCUCCCGCUGAAGCUGGUGUCGCCUUCCACUCCUCUUUUGGCAAAGCCAAUAUUGUGUGUUCAGCAAAUGACUCUGUUUUUGUCCUCGACAAACAGGAAGAAGGCAUUUCCCAGACUUCGUACAUUUUCAUGGGAUUUGGAAGGGUUUGGAAGGACUGUUAGAGCAAGAAUAUGCUCAUUGAAUGCAACCUGAACUACCGAGGAGCUGUGGGGUUUAGACCUACUUCCCUCACACUCCUGAACAUCAGUUUCCCAAGGACAAAACAAGGACCCCGCCGGCCAUAUGAGCACGGGAAUGCAGUGAGCAUUAGGUGAAAUAAUUACAUAAAUAUCCUCCGACCAGAUCCAUCCCAUCCUACCACCUUCCCAGAUGUAAAGAUCUCUUAAGGAUGGGGAAUGUGUCUGAUUUUUUAAGAGGCACAACACAUAUUAGCUCUCAAUAAUGUUAUAUUAGGGAAUUGAAUUAAAAUGUCUCUGCUAAGAUACAUUUUGAACUAUGGUUCAA